GACACGGUCCAGACUCCUACGGGAGGCAGCAGUGGGGAAUAUUGGACAAUGGGCGAAAGCCUGAUCCAGCCAUGCCGCGUGUGUGAAGAAGGUCUUCGGAUUGUA
rnacentral:rRNA from 1 species